UCGGGAAUUUUGGGCAAUGGGCGAAAGCCUGACCCAGCAACGCCGCGUGAAGGAUGAAGUAUUUCGGUAUGUAAACUUCGAAAGAAUAGGAAGAAUAAAUGACGGUACUAUUUAUAAGGUCCGGCUAACUACGUGCCAGCAGCCGCGGUAAUACGUAGGGACCAAGCGUUGUUCGGAUUUACUGGGCGUAAAGGGCGCGUAGGCGGCAAUUCAAGUCAUCUGUGAAAUCUCCGGGCUUAACUCGGAACGGUCAGAUGAUACUGCUUUGCUAGAGUGCAGAAGGGGCAAUCGGAAUUCUUGGUGUAGCGGUGAAAUGCGUAGAUAUCAAGAGGAACACCUGAGGUGAAGACGGGUUG
rnacentral:rRNA from 1 species